AUGGAUCAUCCAUGGCGCUUCCCAGCCGGCGCCGGCAACGACCUCUGCCCCGUCUGCACCGCGCCCCACUUCCCCUUUUGCCCGCCUCCGCCUCUCCCGCCCCACCCCUUUCCCUACGAUCUCCACCCACCGCUCCCUCCUCCCCCGCCGCAGUACCAUGCCCCCUUCCACCCGCCGCCGCCGCCGCCGCCGAUGUGGGCUCCUCCGGGGCCGCACCCGUACGAUCUCCUCGACACGGAAGGCCCCCACAAGAGGAUGCGCGUGGGGGAGGCGCCUCCGUUCUCCGGCCCGCCCCCUCCGUACCCGCCAAUGUUGGGCAGGGCUUCCGUGGAGGGAGAGCGGCUGCUCGGGCUGAUCCGGGAGCAUGGCCAUGGCCGCGCUCAGCUGCCGCCUGCACAGUGGCAUGGCGAACCGUAUCCACCCGAUGGUUUCGGCUAUGGAGAUGAUGGAGGCUAUCCUCUUCAAAAUUAUAAUAAUCCCUAUGCGCAGGGAGGCAAUUUCACUGAUUACGAUCUCGUCAGAAGGAUGCCACCUCCGCCGAUGCCAUUUGAUAGGUAUAGUGCCUUAGAUUCGGUAGGAGGAUCUCAGGAGAAGUAUUUCGACCACCAUCACCAUCACCAGUUUCACCCUGAAGCAAUGCCUGGUGCUCCACCACUUCCUUCAGUACCUCAACAUGCUGAGGCAGGAAACCAUUAUGAUUCCCGCGAUUGGCGUCAUCAUGCGGGUGUUGUUCCGCCACCACCAGAUCCUCCAGUGCCUUCUACCCCAGAUUACCAUGCAAUGCCACCUCUGCCAGCAGCAAACUCGUCGUUGUUUCCUGUCCUCUCCAGUUCCCUGGCUACUACAUCACUUCCACCCAGUGAUAAUACCUUGCAUCAUUCCCAUCUGAUGCCAAACGCAAAUUAUUACAAUGGACCCAACCAAAAUGAGGGGGUAGAUUUUGUACAUCGGCAACAAUCGGAGCAGCAUUUGGGGGAUAGAAUGCCAACACAUGACAAACAUUCUUUUAACAAUGUGGAAGUCAAUAUUGUUAAUGCAUGUGACUUGUUCAAGCAGCCCCUUCGUGCUUCACGCCCUGAUCAUAUUGUUAUUAUCCUGCGAGGGCUUCCAGAACUUGUAGGUAGUGGAAAGAGCUACCUUGCGAAGGCAUUGCGUGAUCUUGAAGUUGAGAGUGGUGGAAGUGCACCCAGAAUUCACUCGAUGGAUGACUAUUUCAUGAUUGAGGUUGAGAAGAAGGUCGAAGACAACGAAGGGUCUAAAUCUUCUACUGCAUCCAAAGGACGGAAACAGUUGACCAAGAAAGUGAUUGAAUAUUGUUAUGAGCCUGAAAUGGAGGAGACCUACAGAUCAAGCAUGUUAAACGCGUUUAAGAAGACCCUUGAUGAAGGGAAUUUCACAUUUGUGAUCGUGGAUGACCGCAAUCUGCGGAUAGCUGAUUUUGCUCAAUUUUGGGCAAGCGCGAAGAGAUCUGGCUAUGAGGUCUACUUGCUCGAGGCACCAUACAAGGAUCCAACAGGCUGUGCUGCUAGGAAUGUGCAUGGGUUUACAUUGGAUGAUAUAAAAAAGAUGGCAGGUGACUGGGAGGAGGCUCCACCACUAUAUGUGCGACUAGAUACCCGUUCUUUAUUCCAUGGUGACAAUCUUCAUGAGCAUUCUAUACAAGAGGUUGAUAUGGACACAGAGGAUAACGAUGAUGCUGAUGAUACAGCAGUUAACACCCAGUCUGGAAGCUCAAAGAAGGCUAUACUUGAAUCAGCAGAUGAUAUACCUGAUCAAGGGGACAAGUGGGAUUCAUCAGAUGAAGAAGACUUAGAUGACAUUAAGGAGCUAGGACAGAGCAAAUGGUCAAAAGAUUUUGACGAGGAUACUGACAAGUCCAAGCAUGCAGAUGGAAGUACACAUACUCUUUCUGGGCUGGCCAAGACAUAUGACACUCAUAAAAAAACACUUACUUGGGGUGAUCGGCUUGAAAAGGGUGGAUUUUCUAUCGGUGCAGUCAAAAGGAGACUCACUUCAUCUUUAAUCAUAGGACCUGGAUCAGGGUACAAUUUGGUCUCCAACCCCUUGUCUGAAGAUAAUUCCACAGGCGUGAAGGAUAAAGUAAACAAUGAAACAAAAAGACGGUUCAGUGAGCAACUUCGUGAUGAAGGUCAAUCCUUCAGGGCAGUUUUCGACCAUAGAAAACAGCGCAUUGGGGUUUUCGACAACGGGAAAAUGAGUAAUCCGUGA
rnacentral:rRNA from 1 species